rnacentral:rRNA from 1 species
GAGUUUGAUCAUGGCUCAGAUUGAACGCUGGCGGCAUGCCUUACACAUGCAAGUCGAACGGCAGCGCGGGCUUCGGCCUGGCGGCGAGUGGCGAACGGGUGAGUAAGAUAUCGGAACGUGCCCAGGAGUGGGGGAUAGCCCGGCGAAAGCCGGAUUAAUACCGCAUACGAUCCAAGGAUGAAAGUGGGGACCGCAAGGCCUCACGCUCGUGGAGCGGCCGAUAACUGAUUAGCUAGUUGGUGGGGUAAAGGCCUACCAAGGCGACGAUCAGUAGCUGGUCUGAGAGGACGACCAGCCACACUGGGACUGAGACACGGCCCAGACUCCUACGGGAGGCAGCAGUGGGGAAUUUUGGACAAUGGGGGCAACCCUGAUCCAGCAAUGCCGCGUGAGUGAAGAAGGCCUUCGGUUGUUAAAGC